rnacentral:lncRNA from 1 species
GUGAGUUUGUGCAUGUCUUGUUUAUGUAACAGGUUUGCUGGUCACUUCAGUCAUAGAACUGUGAUAGAUGACAAGUGUCUGAGGAUACAAAAUAAAUGUGACAGGAUCCUAAUCUUUUAGUAAAUAUAGCCCAGUUAGGACAAGAAGACAUACACAGACUAUUGAUAUCAAGAACUGGGAAUUUACAAGCUUUUAGGGCAGAGUGGGUGGGUGGCAGGCAAUAUAAUGCUGUAAAAAUUAGGAGAAAUGUGAAAUCACAGUAACCUGGAAGGUUCAGGAAAGGACUCACUGAGAAAGUAGGACUGAGGGUCUUGAAAAACAGAAAACAUGUGGAUGUCCCAGCUGCAGAAUAGUAAUGUUACAGCAGAAAUGUCUCAGAUCUAUUUAUAAGAUAGUGUUUUGGAUAACGUGGCUCAUGUGGAAGGUUUCGAUUCCAGAGUAAUGGGAAACAAGGUGGAACAGGACUGGAUUAUGGGGAUCUUUGAUACUAAGGAGCUGAGGACGCUAAGACCCUAUAGAAAUAAAAGGAAGAUGACUAGGAGCCUAAGUCCCACCCUUCCAACUUCCAGCUUUAAUGUAAAAAGAAGCUAACAGCAAAUGCCUGGAUGCAACUUGCAUAUUCUCAAAGAGAAGAUGGUCCAGAGAGUAAGUGGAAUGGUCCUGGCUGCCAAAUGCUAAUAGCUUGAAAAUCCUCCACGAGAGAAGAAAAUCAAUUAAGAUGUAAUUAAAUCAUCACUUCAUCAUUUCUGCAUAUGAAAUAUUACACUGAGAUCAAGAAUUUGGUAUGUCUGGAUGCUGAUGACUGUCCCUUUAUCCCUAUAUCC